AUUGUACAACAAAUAAUGAAUGGAAAACUCUAAAGGGUAUUUAAACCCCAGAAAACGGAUUAAUGAAGCCACUGCUUAGUUAAAGACCAUCAAGCUUCAGAUGAUCAUGCAACAAGUGUUCCAGCCAGUUCCGGGUGAAGUCACCACCUGUGGCCAUCAAGGAACUACCCUGACUCCACUAGACAGGGCAGGGCAAGAGUUUCAUGAUCCCCAAUAGGAAACCGUUGGAGAAACUGGUUACCUUACCAAGGCUUUGGCUGGGAUGGUCAACAAACUUGACUGGAAAUAAACUUGACUUACAGAGACAAGAAAAACCCCUUGGGAAAACUACCCUCAUACCUUGUCUACACAGUCCCUGUACAGGGUUCCUGACCUGUGGUAAGUAAAGACUGUCACUUUCUGACAGGCCUGGGAGCCCCAAGUUAUCAUGGGACCUUAAGAGGAGAGGAAUUUACCUAGCUCACAGGUAUUUGAUGGUACAAAUCCACAAAAUAAGUCUUGUCUGAGAUUUCUUCUAUGUAACAAAGUUUCAUCAAAGCCAAUUAAAAAGCCCAUGUGAAAAAUGAUUAUUCCUGCUGCACUUUAUACAAAUAAUCAGGCCAAGUAUUAUAAAGCAAAUUGGUCCUACCAUGAUCUGUCUUUAGGAAAAAUGAGAAACUGGAGAGAGAAAAAUUGUUUCAAAAACUAUAGUCUACCUGUUGUUAGAUUCUAUUCUCACCUAAUGUUUUUAUAAUUUUUUAUCAUUUUCAACAGUUCAGAGUGAAUUCUAAUUUUUCUUGGCUAUAAGUCUCCAAAAUAAUGUUUUCAAUUUUUUUCUUCUUUCUUUCUCCCCAUUUUUCCUAAUUUUGAAUCACUGAACACUAAGCUGUGUUUUCUUGAAGCCCUGCAAACUGAAGCUAGACAACUUAAACUUCAGAAGAAAUAACAGCAACCUAUUUACAUAUAUAAGCUACUUUCAUACCUGACUGGUGAUGUAUGGACAUCAGAGUAAUAUGGCCUAUAUCAGUUUUUCAUGAUUGUUGGUUUUUUAUUGUUGUUUUUUCUCCCUACCUCUUCUUAUUUUCUCUUCCUAGGACGUGAGACUUCACAACCUGCUAAAAAUGAGCUUCCCUAAUAAUAUGGGACCUACCUGUCUAGGAACAAACCAUCCUAGCCAUUAAAGAUUAGAUGAAACCUGAGACCAGAGAUUCAUUUUCUUCUAAAAUACUUUCUCCGAAAGAGUCUUAAAAAGACAAGGGGAGAAAUGUAAAAGGAAAAUAAAUCUUGGGACCCCCAACUCACUGAGCCAAAGGGAAAAGUCAAGCUGGGAACUGCUUAGGGCAAACCUGCCUCACAUUCUAUUCCAAGUAAUCCCUCUGCUCACUGAGGGAAGUGCAUAUCUGAUUGCCUCCUUUGGAAAGGCUAAUUAGAAACUCAAAAGUGUGCAGCUGGUUGUCUCUUAUCUUCCUAUGAUCUGAAAGUCCCCUCCCUAGUUCAAGUUGUCUCACCUUUGCUUCCAGUUGUCCCACCAUUUUGGACUGAACCAGUGUUCAUCUUUCAUAUAUUGUUUGAUCUCUCAUGUCUUCCUAAAAUGUAUAAAACCAAGCUGUGUCCCAACCACCUUGAGCAUAUGUUAUCAGGACCUCCAGAGUCUUUGUCACAGGCACAUGUCCUUAACCUUGGCAAAAUAAACUUUCUCCGUUGACUGGGAGCUGUCUCAGAUAUUUGGAGUUCACAAUACAAAUCAAAAUUUUAAGAUUUAUUUUCUAGCAAAUGGAUUUAUUAUUUCAAUCAAGUUUCUAACUUACACAAAAACCUCAAGAAGACCAAGGAGCUAAAAAGUGACUAUGUGUCAAUAGUCUACUUUCCUUAGUUUUUUAUGCUAUGCCCCUAAACUUAAAUGUCUAUAACAUCACCUAUAUUUGUUGAUAACAGGAUGCAAUUACACUGAGUUAUGACUCAUAUCAACUUUUCUUAUAUAUAGUUCUCAUGUCCACACACUAAACACUUUGAAAGGCUUUCUUUAGUUUUGCUGUGAAGUGGCUUGGUUUCAUGCUAUGACUGGAAGGAAAUGAGAGCAGGAUAUUAUUUGCCCCUUGGGCUCCUACAAUUCAUUGUUUUCUCUUGCUUCUCAUUCCACACAGUUUUUAAAGCUGUAGUUUGCAACUUUGGUGUACCCAGGAAUCACACAGGAGGUUUCUUAGAAUUGGAAAUUUCUGAGCUCCACUUUCAGAUAAUUUGACUCAUUAGGCCUGGGGUGCAUUUCAAGAAUCUGCAUUUUUAAGAUGAAUUAAGGAUAAUAAAUUUCUGAUGCACCAGAAUCAUUGCUUGGAAGAUUAACUAGAUGCAGUAGAGUGAGUGUGAACCGGAAGAUAGGUUUUAUGAGGUCAGGAUCUAUUUAUCUACAUCCGGAUUGGGUUGUAAAACUUUUAACAAACCUCCUGGGAAAUGUUUAUAAUUUCCAGGAGUAGGGAACUAGAACCUACAAAGAUGGGGAGAUAAACAGAGGUGAAUAAAAGAUAGGGAGAUAAAACAGAGGUGAAUGAAAGGAUUGAAAGAUAACAUUGAGGGCUUAUCAUAAAGACAACCAAUCUAAAUGCAUGCUUUUUGUAAAGAUUAUUUAGAACCAAGGUACUAGUACAUUUCGUUGAGUGUACCUUGAACUAAGAAUUGGCAAAAAGGUUAGACUUAGGGGAAAAAAGAAUCUGAGAUGUCACUGAGUGUACAGUUGAAAUGUUGAUCUAUGUGUUUUAGGCUUCAUAGGGAUAGAAAAGAAAAAUAAGCUUGGGGGAAAAAAAUGGUUGAAAGGCUUUUGGCCCUAAAAAUAACGAGGGUUGAAUUUACUGGGAGACUUGAAAGAGCAAGAGGUUAUGGUUCAAAAUUUCAGACAUCAAGAUUUCUGUAGUAUGGUGGAUUCUGAAUUUAUUUAGAUGUGAAUGCCAUAAAAAAUGACCUAGUUUUUUUGGCCUUAUUUCCUUCAAAUCCAUGAUUACUGCCAAGAUGUACUUUCUAA
rnacentral:lncRNA from 10 species